GGAAAUUCUCCUUUUAAUCUUUUAGGUAAUAUGAAGGUGGCCUUGUCCUUGUUCAGCUUUCCAUUAAUGGCGGAGCUCUUAUUGGUUUUGACAUUCAUUUAUUAACGUCUCUGAUACAUUAAUUAAUAUGAAGCAUCCCUAUAUGUGCUUCUCAGCAAGUGGGUUUGAGCUGAGCUCUUGACGAAUCAAUUUUGAUAGUGAUGCCACCACUGUGUUUGUGUCCUUAAAAAUCAAACAAAAGAGAUGAACCCUUCUGGGUUUCUUGGGCAGUGACUGUCGUGGAUGUUGGCGUCAUUCUUCCUUGCAAAUUCCAAAUUUUACCCUUUUAUCAUUUCAUAUCAUUCUGAUUUGCUUUUCUUAAUUUCCUUUUUCUCUCCAUCACUAAGCAAAUCCCUCUCUCUACAAUCCACAUUCUCAAUGAUCUGACUUGACCUUACGUGUGGGUUAGGUUAGGGUGUGAAGACAAUCUCAAAAACAGCCUUUAAGGGCUUCCCCUUAUCAAUUCUUCUGUCUUCUGUGAAACGAAUGUCGGUUCUUCUGCAUGUAACAGUCUAUGUGUUCGAGGAAAUGCCUCAAAGAGGCUGAUCACCACUUACCAUUGUGAGGCUAAUAUUUUUCAACAGCCCAUACGAAUUUGACUGUUCCCAAAUCCCAGUAUUUCCUCCACGCGUGGUCCGUGAAGAAAUAAAAGCGCGAGAUUUUUGCUGAACUUGCAAAGAAAGGGAGGAGGAUGGGCAUGCUGUCAGCUUGUGGGUGCUAGCAACAUGCACCAAUGGGGAGUGCGGGAUAAGAGGGGCAUGGAGUCUUUUCCAAGGAAGUUGGGGAGAGAGACGGACACAAGGUUGGACACAUCAACAGCGUACUGAGCCUUUUCCCCAAAUGUGAAUACUAGUAUUUCCAAUAGACAUGUCUGAAAUUCCAUGUGGAAACUUAGAUACAUCUGAAAUUCAAAUUGUUCAUGUGAACAAAAUUAUUAGGUUGUGUCACUAGACUCACUACUAGAGUGAGACUAGCAAAAUUUUUAACCUUGAUGCUGGUUGUGUAUUUUUGGCAUUGAAAAUUGAUUGACAUUUGUUUCUCUUC